UCCAUGGUGGUUCCAUGGUUAGGACUUGGCACUUUCACUGCCAUGGCCUGGGUUCAACUCCUGGUUGGGGAA
rnacentral:tRNA from 1 species